rnacentral:lncRNA from 1 species
GAAUGUUUACCAGUUCAAACUCACGUAAGAGUCUGCUAGCUAUCACAAAGUACAUAAUUAGAUCUUCUUUAACACAUAUGUAUUCCUUUGUGAUUUGUUUUAUUACUAACUCUGAGUCUCCCAUUAUUUCGACUCGAGUUGCCCCCAAUUCCAACAAGAUCUCAAGGUCGGCUAUCAAAGCCUCAUUGUUCGAACAAAGGCCUUCGACCUUGUACUUAAAUUUUGUUGGAAUUUUGUUAGGAGAAAUAAU